CCCUUGACAAUAUUCAGUCCAUCUCAGAUUCCUUGGAUGCAUGAGACAGACAACAUUAACAGUGUCUUGGGAGGAUUCAAAAUAGGAUUCUAUAGCCAAAGAGUAAUUAUAGGAUCGGGAGGAACCAGUAGAGACUGAAACCUCUGACUCAUAACUGCUCCAUUAAAAAUGGUGAAACAUCUGCCCUGACCGAGGAACAGGGCUACACUCUCACCCUGGCUCGCCCCACCUACAAGCCUUCCUGGGGCUGGCAUGAAGGGGUGGCUGUCUCCAGGAGCGGGCCCUGUGUGAGCUACUUCACAUGGUUCCUCUCAUUUGAUCUACUCUAAGGAAGACACAAAACCAAGGGCAGUCCCAGGAGGUCCUUGGCAGAUUCCAGCAGCCACAGUGCAGCAGGCCCCAUGCUGAGCCACUG
rnacentral:lncRNA from 1 species